CGGGGUCCGAUUGAUAUCGACUCCCUGGCAACUAUAACUUGUCGGCCACAAGAAAUGCUGGGAGAGGUAAAGUGGUACUUAAUAGAUGAGUGGAAUAAAAAAACAGAGAUCACAAAAGGACAAGAGGCCAGCUUCGCAAACAACAGUUUGGAGAACAUUGUUCAUCUGAAAAAUAUUUCAGGAAGCUGGAAAGGAACAAUUCAGUGUGUGUACACAAAAGGGCCCAUAAAACACACAGCAAGUACAGAGUUGGACAUAGCACUUCUGCCAGAAAUACAGGCCAUGAGCACUCCCCAAUUUCCUAAUUGUAGAAAUAACCAAUUCAAAAAGGCUAUCAUUGAAUGUAAAAUUUCAAACAAUACAGAAAAUUACACGGUUACAUGGAAUACUGCUCUUAGUUUCACAGAAAUAGGACCAGGUAAGCGUCUCAUUACCACUUUUGCUCUCUCAGUGCUAACAAUGUGAUUGAAAGAUAAAUAUUUAUUUAUUAUUUUUACAUACUUUGUGAUAAACAUAUUUUCAUAUUCCUGCAUUCUCUAGAAAUCCAGGGGAAUUUUUUAUCUUACAAAGCAGAGGCGAUCAUAAAUUGUGAAUCAUAUAUUAGGGAUAAGAAUGAGACACUGAAUGUUUCAUGUACAUUCACCAACAACAGAGCCAUUUCCAACAAAAAUA
rnacentral:lncRNA from 1 species